GUCCGGGCCUUGUGGUGCCCGGGUGUGCGGCUGCUGAUUUUGCUGCCCAGUAAGUUCUGGCCCCUGUAAUCCUAUUUUGGGGGUCUGUGGGGGCCCCGGUGGUUCUUGCCGUUGUUGGGGUGUGGUAGGUGCCAGGGUAGCCUCCAGCGUUUCUGCCGCUGGUUUGGGUUUGGGCUGGGUAGGCUUUUGGAGCAUAGUCCCAAUAUCCCUGCCCCCAGCCGUACCUUGUGGCCUUUGUGAUCGGCAUCCCAUUGCCGGCAUAUGAGUCAGAGCUGUGGAUGGGUCCGGGGCGCAGGAGGUGUCUGUGUGCUCGGCCGGGUAUCCACUCAACAGGUCCUCGAGGCCCAGGCUCGUUGGGGUAUAGUAGGCCCCGAUUUUGCGUCUCCGUUUCUGCUGCCGCUGCGGUUGGAAAAAAGGCAUCGGGAGAUGUGGCCCGUUGUGCUGAUGCCGAUAGUGCGUGUGGCGAGGUUGGAUGGGUCAGAGAAAGACUGAUUUUAAUGGAUUUUGUCCGCAGGAUUUGGGAGCUGUGGAAAAUGGCUUCCGUUCAUGUCGGGUAGCAAGCCCCGCCC